rnacentral:lncRNA from 1 species
GGGGAUGGAGAGCAGGGAUGGAAAUGGUAUUGUCAUACCCGAUCCCUACCCGACCCGUUGUCAUCCCUAGUACAAAUGAUGGGGAGGGAGGUUUCACAAACAAACAUUCAUGAGUGAUGACAUAAAUACCCGUCAGGUGGAGUUCUUAUCAGAUCCCCGACCCUAAGGGCGGGCACAGCAUCCCUGAAUUUUAAUGGGAGAAUAUUUUGGGGAAAAAUCAAGGGCGGGCACAGGAUCCCUGAAUUUUAAAAAUUCCUAGUCGAAGACAUGUCGUAGAUGGUAUUGUUAUCGUCAUCCCAUACUCGACCCGAUAAGUAAUAUAUUUAUUUUUAAUUAAAUACUAGCCUCUCCGCACGCGCUUCCGCG